rnacentral:rRNA from 1 species
UACGUAGGGUGCGAGCGUUAAUCGGAAUUACUGGGCGUAAAGCGUGCGCAGGCGGUUCGUUAUGUCCGAUGUGAAAGCCCCGAGCUCAACUUGGGAAUGGCAUUGGAAACUGGCGGGCUGGAGUGUGGCAGAGGGGGGGUGGAAUUCCACGUGUAGCAGUGAAAUGCGUAGAGAUCGGGAGGAACACCAGUGGCGAAAGCGGCCACCUGGACUGCACCUGACGCUGAAACGCGAAAGCUAGGGGAGCGAACGGG